AUUGAACGCUGGCGGCAUGCCUUACACAUGCAAGUCGAACGGUAACAGGUCUUCGGAUGCUGACGAGUGGCGAACGGGUGAGUAAUACAUCGGAACGUGCCUAGUAGUGGGGGAUAACUACUCGAAAGAGUGGCUAAUACCGCAUGAGAUCUACGGAUGAAAGCAGGGGAUCGCAAGACCUUGUGCUACUAGAGCGGCCGAUGGCAGAUUAGGUAGUUGGUGGGAUAAAAGCUUACCAAGCCGACGAUCUGUAGUUGGACUGAGAGGACGAUCAGCCACACUGGGACUGAGACACGGCCCAGACUCCGACGGGAGGCAGCAGUGGGGAAUUUUGGACAAGGGGCGAAAGCCUGAUCCAGCAAUGCCGCGUGCAGGAUGAAGGCCUUCGGGUUGUAAACUGCUUUUGUACGGAACGAAAAGCCCUGGGUUAAUACCCUGGGGUCAUGACGGUACCGUAAGAAUAAGCACCGGCUAACUACGUGCCAGCCGCCGCCGUAA
rnacentral:rRNA from 1 species